rnacentral:lncRNA from 1 species
UGGUCUGAUUAUUGCCAUUCCUAGCAUCUCGGCCACUUGCUUUUCUAUCUUAUACUUUAGCAAGUAUUGGUACCGGUAGGACCUUACAUUGACUGGAUUCAUUCCCUCCUUAAUGAGAAUCUUGUGAUCCAAGUGUCUCUUAAGAGGAAGACUCGUAGACUUUUUGAAAAUCUCCUGGCCGAGGGUUAAUUGUGUUUCUCCGUUAUUGCCUUUUUCUAGUUAUGCUUGCCCUAAACUCGAUACCAAUGUUAUAGCUUCGAUUUCUGGAUCCUUUAACAACAUCUCUAAUGACAUUACUUUUCUUGUUAGUGUAAGAUCUCCUCUGGUAAGAAUUUCCUCAUUUUUAUGGCUAAAUUUCAUGGUUAAGUCUCCCCAAUUGAUCUUGACCUCCCCCA